UUUCUUUUCACGUUAUAGAAGAGGAACAUUCUUCCUCUCUCAGACAGAAGAAGAACAGUCUUCCUCCAUUCCUCAAGGCCGACUGGAUGUGAUUCCAAUCUCCAAACUUCCCCCACCAACCCAUAAGUUUAUAUAUAAUGUCUCAAUCAAGCAUGGAAUCGGAAGAAGAUGAGGAAGAAAUGGAAAUGGAUGAAGAGGAGGAAGAAAUGGAAGUGGAGCAAAUGGUGGAAGAGGAGUGUAGAUCGGACGAAUUUCUUGUUGAACCAGAUGAUGAAUCUUCUUAGUCUCAACCAUUGUCAGUUUCAGAAGGGGAUCUUGACCAAGAUUUUCAAACACAAGAACAACAACGAAAUACUGCUAAUGAAUGAAGAUAUAACAUAGAUUUGGACAUGUGGAGAGAUGUCCAGAAUGAUAACAUUGUGAAUGGAGGAUAAUGAGUCGUUAAUAAUGCUAGUGUUUUGAUUUUUAGGAGCACCAUAUGAAGGCCAGGGAGCAAAAUGCAUUU